CUGGCUCAAAGGUAGAAACUCACAGAAUAUAACGUAUUUUGAGUCCAUUUACCUGGUCAUGGCAACAGCGUCAACUGUUGACUUUGGAGAUGUGGUGGCCAAGACAUGCCUAGGAUGGACCUUCAUCAUUUUCUUCACCCUGGGGAGUUUGAUACUGUUUGCAAACUAUGUCCUUGAAAUGGUGGAACUUUUUGCCAACAAGAGAAAAUACACCAGUUCCUAUAAAGUGGUCAAAGGGAAGAAAUACAGUCCUUAGUGUUUCUAUUUUACAUAUCUGGGUGAUGUAAACAGGACACUAUUUAAA